GUCCUCCGCCGCAGCUCCGCCGUCACCGCCGGCCAACUUACCGAUUUGGAGUCCAUUUAAGCAGUUGGAGUUCAUAUAUACCACUUCUCUUCAUUGCUAAGGUGAGGGCUACUCCGUUAAAUCCCGAGCUAGUUUAGUACUACCGUUAUGGAAAGUUUAGUUUCAAAACAUGAUCCGUCUCUGUGAAUCGAGUCUGUUUGAGAGUCUUGCUUGUUUAUUAUUAUUAUUGAUUGUUAAACCGGAAAUAGGACAAUAGAGGAUUCAACGGAUGAUUGAAUUGAUUGAUAUUAAGAAUUGUUAUAUAUAUGUAUAUAUAUGCGAGUCCAUGUUUUGGAGAUUUGCGGGGUGCUGAGACGUUUGCACUGGCUGCCUAUGUUUGAGGAGUUUUGCGGGGUGAAGAGACGUUUGCACUGGCUGCCAUGUUUGUGGAGAUUUGCGGGGGUACAGAGACGUUUGUACUUACGACGCCUUAGAGAUUUGCGGGGUGCAGUGUGGACUACUGUGCUAGCGACGCCUGUAGAGUUAUAUAUAUUUAUAUC